UACCAGCACCCCGAGUGGUCGGGACGAUUAUUGGGCCUAAAGCAUCCGUAGCCGGUUUUACAAGUCUUCCGUUAAAUCCACCUGCUUAACAGAUGGGCUGCGGAGGAUACUAUGGAGCUAGGAGGCGGGAGAGGCAAGCGGUACUUAGUGGGUAGGGGUAAAAUCCGUUGAUCCAUUGAAGACCACCAGUGGCGAAGGCGGCUUGCCAGAACGCACUCGACGGUGAGGGAUGAAAGCUGGGGGAGCAAACCGG
rnacentral:rRNA from 1 species